rnacentral:lncRNA from 1 species
ACAUAUUGUAUCAAACAGCUUAUUGUAAUGAUUAGACUUGAAAGUCAAAUCAAUAGAUAAAUUAGAAGUCACUAUCAUUAGUAGUGUCAAUUCAAAUUUAACCAAAGAGAUAGAAUGGAAAGAAGCUACGCAUUGGAAUGCUUAUUUUAAAAUUGUUAGCGAUCGGCUGAAAGUAGGCGAUAUAUAAUAUUAAGAUUACAAUCUUAGUGAUGGCUUUCUUUAUUUUAAGAAGUAGAUUUAUGUACCUGACAAUGCUAUAUUUUGAAUGUGCAUACUUCAAGAGGGACAUGACAUCCUAAUAUUUGGAUAUCUAGGGCGAGAAAAGUUUUUAGAGUGAAUUUUAAGUACAUGAUUUUGAACAAGUUUGGAUUGUAAUGUUUGAGCUUUUAUACGCUUCUAUGAAUCAUAUCAAUAUAAUGAAGCAUGCAAUAUAAUGUCU